CCAGGUGGAAGCGGUAGAGGCAAACUGUAAUGAGAGUUCUUCAUAUCAUAGGGUUGAGAACCUAUAUAUUUGUCUCUAAUCUUAGGCAUUUCCUCACUUCACUCCAAUUUGUCCCAUUCCAAAGGACAAACCUAUUUCAAUCUUUUAUUGCAGUCUUCAAUUCAUGGCUUCUCCAAAGAGAGGAAGAGAUGGCAGUGACAGUAGCGGUGGCGGUAGCGGUGCUGGGACUACUUCUGCUUCUCCAACUAUGCCCGAUGAUUUGAUGAUAGAAAUACUGUCUCGGGUUCCGGUGAAGGCUCUCAUGCGGUUUAGGUGCGUUUCUAAGUAUUGGAAUUCCUUUGUUUUCGAUCCCAAUCUGGUGAAGCUGCACCUUCAAAGAUCCCCAAGAGACAACCCAAUUCUGUACACGCUAUCCGAGUAUGGCGAGUACGAAGAUGAUGCACAUUAUCUGCACCAAUCCUCUACACAAUGCUUACUCCAGAAUCCAAAUUCCGUUGUUGGCAACGAUGGUGAUGGUAUUCCAGUCUUCGUCGACUACGACAUAGUUGGAGUCUGCAAUGGAUUGGUGUGUCUGAGUAGAAUCCAUGCUAAUCUUGACGAAAUCUGGGUCCGAUUUUGGAACCCUGCCACCAGACUCAGUUCUGACGAAUCACCCUCCUGUUACAUCGAAUGCGGGGUCGCCAACAUGGCGUUUGGUCACGACGCUUCAACUGACACUUAUAAGGUGGUGGCAGCAGUGAUGACUGACGCGGAAUGUCACAAAUUGGAGCUUAUAGUUCACGAUCUUGGAGAUGAUUGUUGGAGAGAGAUUCCAACUACUGAUGCUGAUUUCCCUUCGGAGUUUCGUCAGACCAAGGGAGUGUUUCUGAAUGGCACCCUUAACUGGGUGACAGUACUUGGCACUGGUAAUUCCAAAUCCCUUGUGGAUUUUUGCUUUGACUUAGCCAGUGAGACGUACACAUGCUUUAAACUGCCUAAUAAUGCGGAGGAAGGUUUCUCAGAACUUGGAGCUUUUGGGGGUUGCCUCUGUCUUUCCCACAUUUACCAUAGAGAAUCUUUUGCUUUCUGGCAAAUGAAGGAGUUUGGAGUUCAUCAAUCUUGGACUCUGUUGAUGAACAUCAGUUACCAUUAUUUCGAGUUUCCCCGUUAUCUCAUUCCGCGUCCCUUGUGCUUGUCUGAAGACGGGAAUAUCCUGAUCCUGGUAUGCCAUGCAGAAUACCAACUUGUUUGUUGUAAUAGGAGACAUAGCCAGAUAGAGCAUUUUGAAAUUCCCCAUAAAUGGAUAUCGCUCAAAUCUACAGAUUACGUUCAGAGCUUGGUGUUGCCUUCUCGUACUACCUGACCUCUGUCUAAUCAAAUCAUGUUUUGUUGUUCUUGGUUAGUAUCUCAUCCAGGAAAACACAGGACUCCUUGAUAUGUGGAGCUUCGGCGCAUCGUGAAUUAUGGAAGAAGGAAGAAGAAGAGGAUUAUUAGAAGAAUAAUUAUAGUUUUUUAAAGUAUCUGUUCUGUAAAAGAUGUUUAUUAUAACUCUCUUGAUGACUCUUUCUAAGGUUCUUUAGUAAUAAAUAGUACUCGAAACUUGUUUAAUAG